UACAGAGGUCUCAAGCGUUGUUCGGAUUCAUUGGGCGUAAAGGGUGUGUAGGUGGCGCGCUAAGUCGGGUGUGAAAUUUCGGAGCUUAACUCCGAAACUGCAUUCGAUACUGGCGUGCUUGAGGACUGGAGAGGAGACUGGAAUUUACGGUGUAGCAGUGAAAUGCGUAGAUAUCGUAAGGAAGACCAGUGGCGAAGGCGGGUUGCUGGGCUGAUACUGACGCUGAGGCGCGAAAGCCAGGGGAGCGAACGGG
rnacentral:rRNA from 1 species